UUCACUCUAGCUACUCUACUUAGCAAAAGGGAAAAGGAAAAGAAAAAGCACAGCUGUGAAGAGGAGUGAUUGUUUCUAUUAUUUAUUUAUUAUGAACGAUAACAAAUCCAGCCUUACCCUCUUCACUUGAAUUCUCAUUCAUCUUCUUCUUCUCUCCGAAAAUGGAGUGACCGAGUGAGAGCAUUGUUGUAAUGCUCUUUCCUCUAUCACUCUCUGGCCACCACCACCAACAACCUCAAUCCCCCCAAAUUUGAGGUUCUUCUUCUUCUUCUUCUUCCUCCUCUGUCUCUGGUGAGGUCUUUCUUGACCAGCUUCAGUUAUAAAGAUCUAUUCACGGCAACUACAGUGGCAUCCCUUCCUUGCCUGAUAUGAAAUUCCCUGUUCCAUCAAAGAGGGCUGCUACCGCUAGCAUCAAAAUUAAGUCAUCCAAAGUCUUGGCAUCCGAAAGAAAGAAGUCUCCGAUAUAAUAAGCAGGAAUUGGACGCUUCCUUAGUUGUAAUAAGGAAGGUAAACAAAAUGGAUGCUACUGAACCCUUCAAUGUUCCUGUUAAUCCUGAAGCUCUGGGAAUUCCUGACUAUAUGCAGCAAUCUUGAAAAGAGCGAUCAGUACAUGAAUUAUGAGGAUGUUUAUAAGGAUGUUCAAUACAUUUGGGACAAUCAAUAAAGGUGACUAUAUCUUGGAUCUUAUGAGGCGAGUGAAGAAGAAUUUUAUGAAGUACUGCAGCUGGGUUAUAUUAUGAACCAUCAAAAGGGACUAAGGGAGUAGAGGAUGCUGCAUUAUCUGGUGAUGGAAAAGUAGCGAAGGGUGGUCAAGCCAAGCAGAAGUCAAUGAAACGUCAUGAGCAUAGUAUUGAGCAAGAGUAUACUGUUACAGAAAGACAUUAACUGGUGGCUUCCUUGGACCACAGAGGAUCACAGAAAUUGCUGAAGUGGUUGUUUCAUUUGAUUCCAAGCCUAUCCAGGUGAGAAAUGAUCAUCACAAAUAUCAAUAUUUUUUUUGAAAAAAUAAUACUUUAAGAUUUAAGAAACAGAGAACACCAUUUGCAACCCUACCGAAAAAUUAAACCGAUAUUUUUCAUGCUCCCAUAUCCAUUUAUCUUAUCUCUAUGAAUCAUUUUGUUGUUCACUCUUUUCACGCAACAGAAACCAACAAAGUCUCUAAUUACUUAGAUAGUUUUAAAGCAUAGUCUAACAAACUUUUAUUACUUUAAAGAUUCUUGAGAUGAAAUAAUCUCUUUAUAGAAAAAAUUAAUGUAUUUUAUAAUAAUAUUU